UUAAUUUUUGUUAUAAGCUCAGAUAAGAAAGUCAAGAAACGAGAGUUUUUUUAUUUCUUUUAUCAUUCCAAUCAUGUGAUUCUAACAGUAAAAUUGAAACAUAACAUUUUAGUCGUUAUGUAGCAGACCAGUACCCCCGUUAUUUAAAAAGAAUGCAAGUCAUUUAGUUCAAUUUGAAAAAGAUUAUUGAGUUUUAAAAGGCGCUCGAACAUUCGAAUGCCUAUUACAACGGGACAACUUAUUCAAAAUUGAAAGAAAUCACUUCAAUUGUUUUUACGAUAUUAGAGGAAUUAGUUUAGUAGACAAUGAUUAAAGAAUUACUUUCAAAAAUUGCAAUUCGCUGAAAAACUACAGGUUUCUGGUAUAUUCAGAGUGUAAUAAAUUGAGACGAAACUACGAUUUUCGUGAGCUUUAAUUGUUUACAACUCGUAUCAAGGUCAACCAAUUUCGAUGAAAUUUCCUACAUCCCUAAAAUUGCCGAGAUCUACAGAACACCAUUGUCUAAUAAACUAAUUCCUCUAACAUCUAAAAAAAAUUUAGAUCACUUGGCCAUAUAAUAUAAAAGUAAUUUCGUUUUAUAUGCCGUACGAAUACUUCCGUGCCUCACUGUAUGUCGAGAAUUGGUAGAGAGACAAAAAGUCGUUGUGAGACAAAUUCCAAAAAUUGGAUGAGGUUCAACAAUCUUAGUUAUCAGUUUCAGGUUCGUUAUCCUGUCAACAAUCUUUGGACAAAAUUGGCUGUGUACCCUGUUUAAAUAGGAGCGAUUAUAUUACUACGCCGGGUCUAGGAGCCCACAAGAUUCAUAAACAUCAGGUGACGUGGAACGAAGCGCGAAAGAUCUGCUUGAGGGAAGGAGCUCGCUUGCCCAUCUUAGAUUCUGCGAGCGAAGAAGCCCUGUUCAAAGGCUGGAUG